rnacentral:tRNA from 1 species
GCCCAGGUGGCGAAAUCGGCAAACGCACCAGCUUUAGGAGCUGGCGAUCGCAAGAUCAUGUGGGUUCAACUCCCACCCUGGGCACUA